rnacentral:rRNA from 1 species
UAAUACAUGCAAGUCGAGCGANUGGAUUAAGAGCUUGCUCUUANGAAGUUAGCGGCGGACGGGUGAGUAACACGUGGGUAACCUGCCCAUAAGACUGGGAUAACUCCGGGAAACCGGGGCUAAUACCGGAUAACAUUUUGAACCGCAUGGUUCGAAAUUGAAAGGCGGCUUCGGCUGUCACUUAUGGAUGGACCCGCGUCGCAUUAGCUAGUUGGUGAGGUAACGGCUCACCAANGCAACGAUGCGUAGCCGACCUCANAGGGUGAUCGGCCACACUGGGACUGAGACACG